UAUUGGAGUCAAGAUUAUCAAAUGUAUAUUCUCAUUAGAGAAAAUCUAACAAAAUCACUCAAUUCAUAAUACAGCAACCUCCAGACCUGAAUGAGUUUGAUGAGAAAGCAUGGGAAGAAAUGCCAGGCUAACACAGAUUAAGAAAAUGCUAAUCACCAUACUAGGCACAGAGACACCUGCUUGGUAGAUACUGAAUGGAAGAAGUAAAGUAGCUGUUAACUAAGCCCAGAAUGAGAUAGGCAUAGAAGACUGCGAAGCAAAUCAAAAUGCCAGAAAUGAAUUGAAUAGCUAGGUCUAUCAGGAGAAAACAGCAAAAUGCGAUAAGCUUUCAAUUGGCCUGGAAGGACACUGUGGCCCUGGGACAGAUGGACAGCCAUUCUUUCUGGUCUACGUUGCUGACACUGUCGGUCUGACAUUGGAGCUGUUCUGUCAACUGUGGAUUCUGCUGCCUGCAGUUUCCGAGUAGGCCUGGGGCUACAGCUAGGUGGCAGCAGGAUUGAGCUCAGCGGCUUUUCCGUUGAAGUGCAUGGCAGCUUCCAAGUUUUCCACUUUGCUCAACUCAGUGUUAUAGUUUUGAAGCAUUCUACCUGGCUCAGUCCUUUCUUGGAAGAGCACCCUUCCCUGCUGGCAAAGAGGCAAAGAAUCUCCACUCAAGUAAAAGGCUAUUGCUCCCUAAGGUUUAGAGAAGAGCUGCUACACAUUCGCCACCCCAGGUGCCCUUUCCCUGGUUAUGCUAGGAUCUUACAAAAGGACCUCCCAAGAAGAGGUAAUCACAAACUCAUCUUUGCCAUACCAGCCUAAGGGGAACGGAAGCAAUUUAGAAAGAGGGGCGAAUCCAAACAGAGAGCAUGCCACACAGCAGAGCUUGUAACCCCUUAGUUCCUCCCUGGGAAAGUCCUUCCAACACAAUGGCCUACUUUGUCCCUCUAUCAAUACUGAGAAAGAGAGGCUUAGGGCCAAUUUUAUGACAUAUACUGAAUACUUUCAAUAAUCUACCAGAACUAUUUUCUUUGUGAUUUUUAACCUCGUUUGAGAUAAUUUUCUCAAAAGGGGAAAUAAGCAAUUAUAACCUAAUAAUUACUAUAGACUUCAGAUGCACAUUUAUUACUAGGAUGUUAGAACUGUACAUUUUAAUCUUUGUAGGACUGUAGCAUGUGAAGUUCUUCUAAUAUUACAUGAAUUACUAUAUUAGAAAAAAUAAUCUACUAGUAUAUAUCAGUGUAUUGAAUACUUUAUGCUAAAACAUUUAAAUUUUUCUCACUAAAAGUUUACUGUAAAUCGGUGCUCUAUUUAUUUCAUUAUAUUUUUUCUCUAUCCUAACUUACAAUCUGUCCACAACCAUUUUUAUUGAUUUUCAAUAAAAGGGUGUUCUAACACA
rnacentral:lncRNA from 1 species